UGUUAUGCGUGAGCGUGCUAAGUGUAUGCGUAAUAAUUAGCCUUUGUAAUUGGAGGCCAGUGAAUGGCAACACUAGGAACACCUUUACUUUAAAUAAUAAAAAAAUUUUUCAUCUAAGUGAAAAGACUUAGAUAAUAAAGGAAGACGAAAAGACCCCGCGGAGCUUUACCUUUUCCUGUACUUCUGUUUAUACACUUAAAUGUACUAGAGGUUUGAUUGGGGCAAUCUUGGAACCAAUAAAGCUUCCAAUACUUGAAAAACCCUAUUUAAAACUAAAUAAGGACCAAAAAGAAGCUACCCCGGGGAUAACAGCGUAAUCCAGUUUGAGAGUACAUAUCGAAAAUUGGGUUUGCGACCUCGAUGUUGGCUUAAGGAUAUCCACAUUAGUGCAACCGCUAUGUCAGGAUAGUCUGUUCGACUAUUAUACCGCUGUACACAAGCUGAGUUAAGACCAG
rnacentral:rRNA from 1 species